GAUGAAGAACGCAGCGAAAUGCGAUAAGUAAUGUGAAUUGCAGAAUUCAGUGAAUCAUCGAAUCUUUGAACGCACAUUGCGCCCGCCAGUAUUCUGGCGAGCAUGCCUGUUCGAGCGUCAUUUCAACCAUCAAGCCCCAGGCUUGUGUUGGAGCCCUGCGGCUGCCGCAGCCUCCCAAAACCAGUGGCGGGCUCGCUAUCACACCGAGUGCAGUAGUUUACUCUUCGCUCAGGGCGUGUGGCGGGUGCUAGCCGUGAAACCCCCAACUUCUCAAGGUUGACCUCGGAUCAGGUAGGAAGACCCGCUGAACUUAAGCAUAUCAAUAAGCGGAGGA
rnacentral:misc_RNA from 1 species